rnacentral:rRNA from 1 species
AAUUUGGGGAGUCUAGCCUACCUUGUUCGUGCAAAUACAACGAUGAAGUGGAGCUUGCUCCACGGAUUAGUGGCGAACGGGUGAGGAACACGUGAGAAACCUGCCUCGGAUUUUGGGAUAACAAAUGGAAACGUUUGCUAAUACCAAAUAACGUCGGAGAGUCACAUGACUUUCUGACGAAAGGAAUUCCGAUUCGAGAGGGUCUCGCGGCCUAUCAGCUUGUUGGCGGGGUAAUGGCCCACCAAGGCAACGACGGGUAGCUGGUCUGAGAGGAUGGUCAGCCACACUGGGACUGAGACACGGCCCAGACUCCUACGGGAGGCAGCAGUGGGGAAUCUUGCGCAAUGGGCGAAAGCCUGACGCAGCAACGCCGCGUGCGGGAAGAAGGCUUUCGGGCUGUAAACCGCUU